GCCGAAAUAGCUCAGUUGGGAGAGCGUUAGAUAUAGAUCGAAAGUACCGGAUUCGAUCCCGGGUUUCGGAA
rnacentral:tRNA from 1 species